rnacentral:ncRNA from 1 species
CGUGCACAAAGGCUUGGUCCUGACUUUACUGUCAGCUUUAGCACAAUUUACACAUGCAAGUCUCCGCAGCCCUGUGAGGAUGCCCUUAAUCCCCUGCCCGGGGACGAGGAGCAGGCAUCAGGCUCAUCCCCAUAGCCCAAGACGCCUUGCCACGCCACACCCCCAAGGGAACUCAGCAGUGAUAAAUAUUAAGCCAUAAGUGAAAACUUGACUUAGUUAGUGCUAAGAGGGCCGGUAAAACUCGUGCCAGCCACCGCGGUUAUACGAGGGGCCCUAGUUGAUACAUGCGGCGUAAAGGGUGGUUAAGGAAAACACAUAUAAAGCCAAAGGGCCUCUUGGCUGUCAUACGCCCCUGAGGAUACGAAGACCUAAUACGAAAGUAGCUUUAACAUACCCACCUGACCCCACGAAAGCUGAGGAACAAACUGGGAUUAGAUACCCCACUAUGCUCAGCCGUAAACCUAGACGUUCAAUUACACAAACGUCCGCCAGGGUACUACGAGCGCUAGCUUAAAACCCAAAGGACUUGGCGGUGCCUUAGAUCCCUCUAGAGGAGCCUGUUCUAGAACCGAUAACCCCCGUUAAACCUCACCACUUCUAGUCAACCCCGCCUAUAUACCGCCGUCGUCAGCUUACCCUGUGAAGGCCUAAUAGUAAGCAAAAUGGACAUAAUCCAAAACGUCAGGUCGAGGUGUAGCGCACGAAGUGGGAAGAAAUGGGCUACAUUUUCUAAAAUAGAAUAACACGAACAGCAUCAUGAAAACUAAUGCUUGAAGGAGGAUUUAGCAGUAAAAAGGAAAUAGAGUGUCCUUUUGAACCCGGCUCUGAGGCGCGUACACACCGCCCGUCACUCUCCCCCACAAACGCACAACAAAAGUAACUUACACCAAAGCAUAAAUAAGGGGAGGCAAGUCGUAACAUGGUAAGUGUACCGGAAGGUGCACUUGGAUCAA